rnacentral:lncRNA from 1 species
GGCUUAAUAUUUAAAAUUUUGAAUAGAUUCCUAGCUUACCCUUCCCUACUCCACUACUCCGAGCAUCACUUCCUCCACUAGGGAAUCUUCUUCCAAAGAGUGUGAGCAGUGGAGACAUCCUAGUAUAGACUCGGUCGUUGAGAAGAGCACAGCAUCUUUGAUGGAAUCCUCUUCUGGGUAUGGGCAGGUGUCUAUGUGAUGGUAGGCCAAGGCAUUACUGUCAUCUUCUACACUCUCUUUCUUUAGCCUAUUGUUCUUUCUUGUUUUAGAAUUAAUACACGUGUUCUGGUUAAUCUUUGCAUAACAUGGCACACACUUCCUAUCAGGUUAUAAUAGGAGGAAUGUGGCCUCCAUUCCCUUCCACACCAAUCUCCCCAGUACUGUUCAUGUUUGUUUUGGUUUCAUGCGCAUGCAUUGCAAAAGCUAUUCUGCCAUAUGCACUAUUUAUUCUUUCCUUUCGUUUUCAUUUGCAUUCAUCACAUGAAGAUUCUCUAGGCUGGAUAAACCUUGCUAUUCUAAGGAGCUCGAACCCACUUCAGAAUACAUCUCUCCAGGUGAGUCAAGGCAUCUUGGUGGCCAUCUAUCAGGUGGCAAUUGCGGAGCUUUCCUACUGACAUAGGAUCCCAUGAUGGGGCUUUAUUUUAACCAGUUGUUAUUAAUUUGGUAAUGCGCUUCUAGUUUUUGUUUACUGUAAGGCAAAACUUAAAAUGAUAUAUUGAUCUAAGAUGAGAGAUGUUGAGAUAGACAACAAGUAGAACCUUCAAGUCUUUUUUCAUUUGAUGAAUUUAUUUUUCAUUUGGUCAUUAAAGUUAGACAAAUAUAUUUACCUGAUAUGCAAACAAUACUUGUACCAGUUAUGCUGCAUGUUCACUGACUAACCGUGAUACUGGUUUGCGGCAUUAGAC